rnacentral:rRNA from 1 species
UACGUAGGUGGCAAGCGUUGUCCGGGUUUAUUGGGUUUAAAGGGUGCGUAGGUGGUCUAUUAAGUCAGUGCUGAAAUAUCCCGGCUUAACCGGGAGGGUGGCAUUGAUACUGAUGGACUUGAGUAAAGUUGAGGUGGGCGGAAUUGACGGUGUAGCGGUGAAAUGCUUAGAUAUCGUCAAGAACACCUAUUGCGAAGGCAGCUCACUAAGCUUUAACUGACACUGAGGCACGAAAGUGUGGGGAUCAAACAGG